AUUGAACGCUGGCGGCAUGCCUUACACAUGCAAGUCGAACGGUAACGCGGGGCAACCUGGCGACGAGUGGCGAACGGGUGAGUAACGCAUCGGAACGUGCCCAGUAGUGGGGGAUAGCCCGGCGAAAGCCGGAUUAAUACCGCAUACGACCUAAGGGUGAAAGCGGGGGAUCGCAAGACCUUGCGCUAUUGGAGCGGCCGAUGUCAGAUUAGCUAGUUGGUGAGGUAAAGGCUUACCAAGGCGACGAUCUGUAGCGGGUCUGAGAGGAUGAUCCGCCACACUGGAACUGAGACACGGUCCAGACUCCUACGGGAGGCAGCAGUGGGGAAUUUUGGACAAUGGGCGCAAGCCUGAUCCAGCCAUGCCGCGUGAGUGAAGAAGGCC
rnacentral:rRNA from 1 species